AAUCAACGCUGGCGGCAUGCCUAACACAUGCAAGUCGAACGCGAAAGUGGCUUCGGCCGCGAGUAGAGUGGCAAACGGGUGAGUAACGCGUGGGUGACCUGCCUUCGAGUGGGGGAUAACGUUUCGAAAGGAACGCUAAUACCGCAUAACAUCCUGUUCUUGAACGGAUGGAGAUCAAAGCCGGGGAUCGCAAGACCUGGCGCUUGAAGAGGGGCCCGCGUCCGAUUAGCUAGUUGGUAGGGUAAAAGCCUACCAAGGCGAAGAUCGGUAGCCGGCCUGAGAGGGCACACGGCCACACUGGCACUGAAACACGGGCCAGACUCCUACGGGAGGCAGCAGUGGGGAAUCUUGCACAAUGGGGGAAACCCUGAUGCAGCGACGCCGCGUGAGCGAUGAAGCCCUUCGGGGUGUAAAGCUCUUUCGUCAGGGAAGAUCUUGACGGUACCUGGAGAAGCAGCUGCGGCUAACUACGUGCCAGCAGCCGCGGUAAUACGUAGGCA
rnacentral:rRNA from 1 species